rnacentral:tRNA from 54 species
GCCUCUUUAGCUCAGUCGGUUAGAGCACCUGACUGUUAAUCAGGGUGUCGCCUGUUCGAGUCAGGCAAGAGGCGCCA